AACCUGGUUGAUCCUGCCAGUAGUGAUAUGCUUGUCUCAAAGAUUAAGCCAUGCAUGUCUGAGUACAGACCGAUCUAAGGUGAAACCGCGAAUGGCUCAUUAAAUCAGUCAUAAUUCCUUGGAUAGUGAAAAACUUCCUCGGAUAACUGUGGAAAAUCCAGAGCUAAUACGUGCAACUGAGCUCCGACCUCGGCGCGAGCCUUGGGAAGAGCGCAUUUAUUAGAUUCAAAACUGACCGGCGUACUCCUUCGGGAUGCGCCGUUUGUCGAAAGUUUGAUGACUCCGGAUAACUUAGCCGAGCGCUACGGUCCUAGUACCGGCGCCGUAUCUUUCAAGUGUCUGCCUUAUCAGCUUUCGAUUGUAGGUUAAACGCCUACAAUGGCUGUAACGGGUAACGGGGAAUCAGGGUUCGAUUCCGGAGAGGGAGCCUGAGAAACGGCUACCACAUCUAAGGAAGGCAGCAGGCACGCAAAUUACCCACUCCCAGCCCGGGGAGGUAGUGACGAAAAAUAACGAUGCGAGACUCUUCCGAGGCCUCGCAAUCGGAAUGAGUCCAUUUUAAAUCCUUGGACGAGGAUCCAUUGGAGGGCAAGUCUGGUGCCAGCAGCCGCGGUAAUUCCAGCUCCAAUAGCGUAUAUUAAAGUUGCUGCGGUUAAAAAGCUCGUAGUUGGACUUCCUAGAUCCAUUUCGCGAGCGAGUCGCUCGUUGAGCUAGCGUUUCGAGUCAGUCACUCGAUGACGUCGAGGUUAUAGAGGCGUUUCGGGUCGCUAUCUCGCAGCCGUAGUUCUUCUCGGACCUAGCGUUAGCUUUCGUUUUCGUCGUCGAUCCUUCGCGGGUGAGACGUUCGUUUGCGUUAGCAUCGUUAGCGAGAGUCGCAAUUGCGCGCUCGCUUGGUACGUGGGCUCGUUCGCUCUUGCUUCGCACAGAAUCUUGCGGACGGCGAGACGUUGUCUUCGAGUAUCGCUCGUUCGCGUUUGGUACAAUUAAAAUUUUGUCGGCUCGCUCGGAGUGCUCUUUACCGAGUGUUCCAGGGUGGCCGACACGUUCACUUUGAAAAAAUUAGAGUGCUUAAAGCGGGGCUUAUACGUGGCCUGAAUGUCUGUGCAUGGAAUGAAGUAACAGGACCUCGAUUCUGUUUUUUUUGUCGGUUUUAUUGAACCGAGGUAAUGAUUAAAAGGGACAGACGGUGGCAUUAGUAUUGCGGCGCUAGAGGUGAAAUUCUUGGACCGCUGCAAGACUAACUACUGCGAAAGCGUUUGCCGAGAAUGUUUUCAUUAAUCAAGAACGAAAGUUAGAGGAUCGAAGGCGAUCAGAUACCGCCCUAGUUCUAACCCUAAACUAUGCUAACUAGCGAUCCGCCGGAGUCAUUCCCACGACCCGGCGGGAAGCCCCAGGGAAACCAAAGUCUUUGAGUUCCGGGGGAAGUAUGGUUGCAAAGCUGAAACUUAAAGGAAUUGACGGAAGGGCACCACCAGGAGUGGAGCCUGCGGCUUAAUUGACUCAACACGGGAAACCUCACCAGGCCCGGACAUCAUAAGGAUUGACAGGUUGAGGGCUCUUUCUCGAUUUGAUGGGUGGUGGUGCAUGGCCGUUCUUAGUUGGUGGAGUGAUCUGUCUGGUUGAUUCCGAUAACGAACGAGACUCUACCCUACUAACUAGUCGGCGGAUCGUAACCCUGAGAUGGUUAGUUUGUAUAGGACGGUUUUACGGAGACGCGGUCGCGGGAUAGCGGCGUUACGGAUCGCUGCGCGUCCAGCGUGUGUGUGUCGUCGUUGGGGGUGCGAGAGUUUCGGCUUUCCGCGCUCUUCGAGGCGAUUUCGCGCGCGUUGGCGCGUAGUUUCUCUCCGCAGCGUUAAACUACUCGCGGUCUCGCGUCGAAGUUUCCGUCUGAUUACUGCUACUGCUGGGGGCGUCCGUCGCAAUGUAUCUUCUUAGAGGGAUCAGCGGCGUAUAGCCGCACGAGAAAGAGCAAUAACAGGUCUGUGAUGCCCUUAGAUGUUCUGGGCCGCACGCGCGCUACAAUGUAGAGACCAGCGUGCUUUCCCCCUCCGAAAGGAGCGGGUAACCCGUUGAAACCCCUACCCGAUUGGGAUUGGGGAUUGCAAAUAUUUCCCAUAAACGAGGAAUUCCCAGUAAGCGCGAAUCAUUAAUUCGCGCUGAUUACGUCCCUGCCCUUUGUACACACCGCCCGUCGCUACUACCGAUUGAAUGAUUCAGUGAGGGCAUCGGACUGGCGCCUUCGGUUUAGUAACAUAGACCUUAGGCUGACGGAAAGAUGUCCGAACUUGAUCAUUUAGAGGAAGUAAAAGUCGUAACAAGGUUUCCGUAGGUGAACCUGCG
rnacentral:rRNA from 1 species